rnacentral:ncRNA from 21 species
AAUCGAAUAGGCGAUGGAGUUCGCCAUAACCGCCGGCUUCCGGCUGAUGACUCCUGCUGCAAA